UACGUAGGGUGCGAGCGUUGUCCGGAAUUAUUGGGCGUAAAGAGCUCGUAGGCGGUUUUGUUGCGUCGGCUGUGAAAACCUGCGGCUUAACUGUGGGCUUGCAGUCGAUACGGGCAGACUUUGAGUUCGGCAGGGGAGACUGGAAUUCCUGGUGUAGCGGUGAAAUGCGCAGAUAUCAGGAGGAACACCGGUGGCGAAGGCGGGGU
rnacentral:rRNA from 1 species